UCGAGCGGACAGAUGGGAGCUUGCUCCCGGAUGUUAGCGGCGGACGGGUGAGUAACACGUGGGUAACCUGCCUGUAAGACUGGGAUAACUCCGGGAAACCGGAGCUAAUACCGGAUGCUUCCUUGAACCGCAUGGUUCAAACAUGAAAGAUGGUUUCGGCUGCCACUUACAGAUGGACCCGCGGCGCAUUAGCUAGUUGGUGAGGUAACGGCUCACCAAGGCGACGAUGCGUAGCCGACCUGAGAGGGUGAUCGGCCACACUGGGACUGAGACACGGCCCAGACUCCUACGGGAGGCAGCAGUAGGGAAUCUUCCGCAAUGGACGAAAGUCUGACGGAGCAACGCCGCGUGAGUGAUGAAGGUUUUCGGAUCGUAAAGCUCUGUUGUUAGGGAAGAACAAGUGCGAGAGUAACUGCUCGCACCUUGGCGGGACCUAACCAGAAAGCCACGGCUAACUACCUGCCAACAACCGCCGUAAUACCUAAGUGGGAAGCGUUGUCCGGAAUUAUUGGGCGUAAAGGGCUCGCAGGCGGUUUCUUUAGUCUGAUGUGGAAGCCCCCGGCUCCACCGGGGAGG
rnacentral:rRNA from 1 species